GACGAACGCUGGCGGCGUGCUUAACACAUGCAAGUCGAACGGUAAGGCCCUUCGGGGUACACGAGUGGCGAACGGGUGAGUAACACGUGGGUGAUCUGCCCUGCACUUCGGGAUAAGCCUGGGAAACUGGGUCUAAUACCGGAUAGGACCACUGCCUGCAUGGGUGGUGGUGGAAAGCUUUUGCGGUGUGGGAUGGGCCCGCGGCCUAUCGGCUUGUUGGGGGGGUGAGGGCCUACCACGGCGACGAAUGGUAGCCGGCCUGAGAGGGUGACCGGCCACACUGGGACUGAGAUACGGCCCAGACUCCUACGGGAGGCAGCAGUGGGGAAUAUUGCACAAUAGGCGCAAGCCUGAUGCAGCGACGCCGCGUGGGGGAUGACGGCCUUCGGGUUGUAAACCUCUUUCAGCACCGACGAAGCGCAAGUGACGGUAGGUGCAGAAGAAGGACCGGCCAACUACGUGCCAGCCGCCGCUGUAA
rnacentral:rRNA from 1 species